AGCGGCGGACGGGUGAGUAAUGCUUAGGAAUCUGCCUAUUAGUGGGGGACAACAUUCCGAAAGGGAUGCUAAUACCGCAUACGUCCUACGGGAGAAAGCAGGGGAUCUUCGGACCUUGCGCUAAUAGAUGAGCCUAAGUCGGAUUAGCUAGUUGGUGGGGUAAAGGCCUACCAAGGCGACGAUUUGUAGCGGGUCUGAGAGGAUGAUCCGCCACACUGGGACUGAGACACGGCCCAGACUCCUACGGGAGGCAGCAGUGGGGAAUAUUGGACAAUGGGGGGAACCCUGAUCCAGCCAUGCCGCGUGUGUGAAGAAGGCCUUAUGGUUGUAAAGCACUUUAAGCGAGGAGGAGGCUACUGAGACUAAUACUCUUGGAUAGUGGACGUUACUCGCAGAAUAAGCACCGGCUAACUCUGUGCCAGCAGCCGCGGUAAUACAGAGGGUGCGAGCGUUAAUCGGAUUUACUGGGCGUAAAGCGUGCGUAGGCGGCUUUUUAAGUCGGAUGUGAAAUCCCCGAGCUUAACUUGGGAAUUGCAUUCGAUACUGGGAAGCUAGAGUAUGGGAGAGGAUGGUAGAAUUCCAGGUGUAGCGGUGAAAUGCGUAGAGAUCUGGAGGAAUACCGAUGGCGAAGGCAGCCAUCUGGCCUAAUACUGACGCUGAGGUACGAAAGCAUGGGGAGCAAACAGGAUUAGAUACCCUGGUAGUCCAUGCCGUANACGAUGUCUACUAGC
rnacentral:rRNA from 1 species